AUUAAAAAAAAAAAAAAGAAAGAAAGGAAACGCGAAGGGCAAGCAGGGAUAAAACUGUCGGUGAAUAGUUUGGGCCUGUAUUCGUUAAGAGUUUUCGCUUUUAUUUGAGUUUGCUGAGUUUCUUUAUACUUGAUAGUUGCAUUUUAGUAUUAUUUUCUUUCAAAGACGGCGGAGAGAUUUAUAGUUGUAUAUUUUAUUUUGGGGGCUUUAUCGCUAGUUUCUCUCGCUGAUUGUAAGUGGUUUGAUUCUGUUUACUCUGUAUUUAUUUUGUUUUGCCGGUUUUGGUCUUCUUUAGUGAGGAUUUGCUUGCUAAAAUUAGUUUGCUUCAAGAGUUUUCAUUUGACUCCAAGAAGGAUCUGCUUUUAAUAACAUUGAAAUUUUAGGACUCUGCUAUUGCUAUUGUGUCCGGCAAUCUCCGCUCAGCAAUAUCCUCUUCUUUGUGCAGUUGCUUGAAUGAUUGGUGCUCCUGCUUUGUUUCAAAAGUCUACUUCAAUUGGUUGUAUGUUAAACUGCUUUGAUUUUGAUCUUAUUUUCUCCUUCUUUUCGAGUUUGAUAUUUGGUAUUUGGUCGCUUCUUUAUUUGCUAUUUUAUUUGCUAUUUUAGUGUUCAUGUAUACUUCUGUUUAGUUAUUUAUAUCGAGAUGUUAAAAGAAAUCAUAAGAGUUAUAAUGGUGGUGUUGACGACAUCGGUGCUCAAUUAAUUUCUGAGAUUUUUAUUUGUUAAUUUUAUAAUUUAAUUUGUUCCUUCGACUAAUUUAAUUUAUUGAGUUAUUUUAAUUUAAUUUUUUUUAUUUUAAUUUAUAUCUCUUUGAAUUAGGUGUAAUAACUAAUGAUUGAAUAAUGAUUGAAUAAUAUAGUUGAUGUUCUGAGAUUUAGAGAAAAUAAGAUUUACAAUGGUUGUGUAAAUUUGGUCCGAGAGAAUGGUGCUUCUUUUUUUAUAUGCUAAUGACAUCCAACGAUUUUGUUGUUACUGGGCCACCUGUCUCUGUCAUACGGAUACAUACAUACAAAAGUGUAAGAGGAUGUCUGCUGCAUGCUGAAUGGCCAUUUAAUUUUCACCAUGACACACGAAUAAACAUAUCUAUUAGGUGAAG
rnacentral:lncRNA from 1 species